AAAUGGCCGCGGUACUUUGACCGUGCAAAGGUAGCAUAAUAAUUAGUUUUUUAAUUGAAAGCUGGAAUGAAUGAUUGGACGAGGAAAUUGCUGUCUCAAUUUAAUUUUAUUAGAAUUUUAUUUUUAAGUAAGAAAGCUUAAAUAGUAUUAAAAGACGAGAAGACCCUAUAGAGUUUUAUAAUUAAUUGAUUAUUAAUUUUUUAGUAUUAUUUUAUGGAUAAUUAAUUACUUAUUUUAUUGGGGCGAUAGAAAAAUAUAAUAAACUUUUUUUAAAAAAUUAAACAUUAAUUUAUGUUUUANUGAUCCAUUUUUUAUGAUUAUAAGAUUAAGUUACCUUAGGGAUAACAGCGUAAUUUUUUUUUAGAGUUCUUAUCGAAAAAAAAGGUUGCGACCUCGAUGUUGGAUUAAAAUUAAUUCUUGGUGUAGAGGCUAAGAAAUUAGGUCUGUUCNACCUUUAAAAUUUUACA
rnacentral:rRNA from 1 species